rnacentral:tRNA from 1 species
GCCCUCGUGGUGGAAUUGGCAUACACGGCAGAUUUAAAAUCUGCUGCCGAAAGGAUUGUGGGUUCGAAUCCCACCGAGGGUA